CUGUACCGAGUCAAAAACUACUUGGUAACAUUACACUUAACAAUCUCAAUCAAGAGUAUAGAUAAUCAUUUAUGUUACAAAAAAAUAUUGUUAAUAACUUACAAAUAUUGAUUGGUAUAAAUACAAGUUAAUUUAUGAAACUUUAUUGGGCCAUCCACCAUUGUCUUUACAUCAAAGACCUGCAUUCAUAAGUUUAACUUGUAUUAUAUGACUUGUAAAAAUUAUACAAAUAACAAACAAGAAUAAUUUGAACUAUAUUGAUUAAAUAUGGUUUAUGCAUAGAAAUAUUCAAGACUAUCUGUUAUUGAGUUAAAGUUGGCUAGUUGACCUCAUAAGAUAUAAGUGUGUCUUUAUACUUUACAAAGAAUUGAGAGGAUGAGAUUUGAGCAACCAUAUAUAGGUAAUAAUAAUUUUAGCUAAUACUUCCAAGUCUCGACAUCACUCAUUUGAGCUUUAAUGCAUUUAAAAUAGUGCGGAGAUAACACAUACAUUAUCCUAUUAUUGUUUCUAAUGAGAGGAGAUCAUCUAUAACUAAACAAACAAGCAAAAUUAUUAAAAGAAGGUAUAAAUUAAUUCAAAGCAUGAGUCUUUUUUUUUCUUUGACACAAGUACAAUAAUCCAUAUUGUACCAAGCAACAUUACCUUAGUCAUUUCUUUACUGAAUUCUUGCGUGACAACUGUUUUUGGGAGACUUCAUAAGAUCAUUGACGAUUUUCAUGACUUCAUCAUUUUUGGACCAAUGUUCCACAGAUCGAGCAAUAGCUAAAGAAUAAAAAAAAAAUAGUCAAAAGGAGAUACUACGAAAAGAAGUUCACAUAUCAAGAAAAGAGGUGUUAUGAAAAUCAAGAUGAGAUACUACAAAAUCAUAUCAUAAGCAGCGUCGUCUUUUGAAAAUCAAAAAUCAUCUCGUCAAGAUAUCAACUCUAAGCUUGACACUAACAAUUAAGAAGAAGUUAACAUAUUCAUCCAACCCAAAGAAAACCACUAUUGCAAAUUUUCCCUAUUUUUACAACAAAUAUAGUAGUACAAGGCACUUCAAAUUUUAAGUUCUUAAUUCCUACUUAGAGUAAGAUAUGACAUACAUUGCAAGUUUCACAUACAUAUGAGUCUAAAAAAGAACCUAGAAUAAAUUUAGAUCCAUUGUCAUUCAAACCAUGUUCUACUAAUCAAAACAGAAGGCAUAUAUAUUAUAAGCAAUGUAUAUGAACUGUUGCUACAAUAUUGUUAGCACUGAACACUAUAUACUAGUUACGAGACUUUGUAGAUAAACAUACACCAAAUUGUCUACAUUUAAAUUGGAACGAGAAGUACUUCAACUAGUGUUACAGAUUUGUCCAGCAUUUCAUCUUAAUAUAGACCAUGCCAAGAACAUGAUGAGAAUCAAGUAUACCAAAGUAUCACCAUAACAAGUAUUUUUUCACCUCACCCAGAACAAAAUAUGAAACCAAGUCUUGGAACACAUUAAAACCUAGGUCUUUGAAACUUUCAAAUCAAUAAUUAAUAGGGAAAAUAAAGUGAAAUUUGAAAUUUAGCUUUAGGAUUAACUGAAAAUUUGAAAAAGAAUAAACAACUAGUUAUACCUUAAAUCACCUCUUGCCCAAUCGGUGUUGUUGUUUCGCCCAAUUUCCGAUGUCGUUUUGCCCAAUCGUUAUUGUUGUUUCGCCUAUUUUCCGAUGUCUUUUUGCCCAAUUGAUGAUGCCUCUUCGCCCAAUUGAUGAUUCCCCUUCGCCCAAGCGUCGUCGUUGCCGCUCCAUCGCUCAAGCAUCGUCGUCGAUGCCCUUUUGCACAAGUGUCUCCGCCGCGGCUUCUUUACCCCAAACAUCAUCGCCGUUUCCCCUUUGACCAAGCGCCGCCGCUUCCCCUUUACCCCAGCGCCGUCGCUUCCCCUAUGCCCAAGCACUGCCGUCGCUGCUUCACAAAAUCGUCUUAGCCGCUGCCGUCGAUGAUGGACAUGAUUAUGCUAACAUGGUAUGCGGUGGUGGAAAUUGGAAAUAUGGACGAUGUGAGAAAAUUGAAAACCCUAGCCCAGUUUUUUGUUUUAUGUUCUG
rnacentral:lncRNA from 1 species